rnacentral:rRNA from 1 species
GAUGAACGCUAGCGGCAGGCUUAAUACAUGCAAGUCGUGGGGCAGCAUGACUGUAGCAAUACAGUUGAUGGCGACCGGCAAACGGGUGCGGAACACGUACACAACCUUCCUUUAAGUGGGGAAUAGCCCAGAGAAAUUUGGAUUAAUACCCCGUAACAUAGUGAAAAGGCAUCUUUUUAUUAUUAUAGCAGCAAUGCGCUUAAUGAUGGGUGUGCGGCUGAUUAGAUAGUUGGCGGGGUAACGGCCCACCAAGUCUGCGAUCAGUAACUGGUGUGAGAGCACGACCAGUCACACGGGCACUGAGACACGGGCCCGACUCCUACGGGAGGCAGCAGUAAGGAAUAUUGGUCAAUGGACGCAAGUCUGAACCAGCCAUGCCGCGUGGAGGAUGAAGGUCCUCUGGAUUGUAAACUUCUUUUAUAUGGGACGAAAAAAGGUCUUUCUAGAUCAACUGACGGUACCAUAUGAAUAAGCACCGGCUAACUCCGUGCCAGCAGCCGCCGCAGUAA